GUGCACAGGCUCAUCAUUCUGAUGCCUGAGUCUCCAGCCCCUCUCCCAUAAAGACAGGGGAAAAAUCUGGAGACAUAAGCAUUUUCCAAAUUCAAGAUACGUGAAUCAUGCCCAGCUUGGAUGAAUCGGGGUAUGUAAGAUGGCGCAGCACUCCUGUCAUUCCAGUGUUCAGCUACCCUGAGGGAGGCAGGGAAUUUUGAUCAGCAUCCAAAGAAUCACCUCAUCUCUCCCUGCAGAGAGCACAGAGCACAAGACUUCAUGUUCCAUCAGAUUGACUAUCUUACGGAAAGCGGGCAAUAAACAAAUGGACACCACAGAAAACAAGGGCUUGUUUAAUCUACUGGAGGUGGACUGCUUCGGAACAAAAUAUUGCAGAGAAGUCCAAUUCAUAGGCAGGGGCCUUCUCAGAGUGUGACAAAUUGUCCUUGAGAUGGAGAGACUUUGAUGGUGCUAAUGGAAAUCAAAUGGCCA